UGUUGAAGUUGAACAAAAAGGGGAGACUCAAAAGGGGCAUUGCAAUAAAUUCCCUGCACUACAAUAGACACCCGCAGUAGAUUGUUGAACAUCAGAUCAAACAUUGCGGCACUGCACAUCAUCACUAAAAUUCCUUCGCAACAAUUGAUCAUUUCGAAUUAGUUCAGCCCUGUACAUCAUGAUUUGGUGAUGCCAAUAUUGCCAUGACCCCAUCACAAUGUUGUAUAAUUAAUUGUUUAAUGAAAGGUUAACACAGGGAGUAUAAUAUGUAUAUCUAGUCCAGCCUAAUUCUCUUCUAUAUUUCCUCUACAUAGUCAGAAACUCAUAUCCCAAGCAAUGAGCCAUAACUGGAGCUUCACUGCGACAAAAUAAUGACCGGUGGUCCAUUUCCAUGAAUAAGAUCAUAAAUCCAGAUAGCAUAGUACAGAUCCAUGCCUCGAUUCUCAUCCAUCAGGCUACAAAUUAAAAAAAAAUGGGAUUAUCAAGGCUAAUCACCAAGUGUUUCAAGUAUUGAACAACCAGAGAAAGAUUUAGCUACAGUCAUACAACAUGAUUCAUGUGCACAGGGUUUUUUUUUCCAAAGCAUGUGAAUCAAAUUGACUUACUAAUUUGGUCAGCUGCUGUCACGAUUUAGCAUCUUCUGAAAUUAAUCAAGGGCAAUGGAUGCAUAUAGAGAAAAAUCAGUAAAUGGUCACAUCCUGAAGAAAAUCAAAUCAAGAGCAUGCUUCUGACAUAAAUAAGAAAUAAAGAGAGAAAGCUAUUUCACCUAGGGCUUGAAUCGUCGAUCUGUCCGUGGCGAUGUUGUCCAUGGAGAAGCACACUGAGAAAGAAAGGGGAAUGGGAUGGGGGCAUCGCUCUGCCAAGAUGCUCGAUUUCCCCAAGGUCUCCUCUGCCUCCUCUCGACCCCGGGAGGCAACUUCCCUGGAGAGAAAGGAACCCAGCCUGGAACUUGCAGCAAGAUUACCACCUACAGAUAAAAACUGGAGCACUCAAGCAGACGGCUUAGUCAAAUCACAAAGAGAAAAAAAGGAAUAAAUGAAUCAGGGGGAAAAGUAGAGCAACGGGGAGGAGAAGGGGCAGAGAAGGCACACCCAC
rnacentral:lncRNA from 1 species